GUUGGGCAGGGGAUGAGAGAAUACAAGUACUGUUUCCUUUGGGCAUCAUUCCUUAGGACUUAGUUGUCCUUGGUGUUGGAAAGGAAGAUCAGGGAGCUUUCUAGUUAGCAUCAAGCAUCGUUAUUUCUUUACUAACUUCUUUACUAGCUAAAUGCUGACCAUAAAUACUGCAUGUUUCCUAUUCUUAGUGUCUUGAAGCAGUGAAAGUGGUCUUAGGUAGUUUUGAAGGGAAGGAUACAGUAUCUAUCAAGGUACCUCAGUGCUACUGCCUGCCUUUCCUAGCAGCACCAUGUAGGUAGCAGCCACUGACAGACGGGAGCGUAUCAAGAUAGAUUACUAAGCAUUUAUAAAAUAGAUCAAGCAGAACAAGAACUUCAUUUGAGAAACGUUGCACUAAUGCUUCACUAGACAGACCUCACAACUGUGGAAUACUAAUAAAUGAGGCAUUAUUGGUUAAAUACAGGGUAAGAGGAGGUGUUUGUGUCAAUAGCUACAUAUUACAGAAAAGUACUUACACUAGAAGAGCAAUUUUUUUCUAAUGUGUUUCUCCAGAUUGGCAGUCCAGCACACUUAGUUCAGAAGGUUUCAUAUUGACUAUAGUCAUUUGCUGCAGAGGUGCACAAAGUCAUAGAGUCUUAGAGCAGCUUAGGGUAGAAGGGAUGCUGAAGACCAUCUGUUUCCAACUCUAGUUCUGUGCCACCAAAUGAGGCUGUCCAGGGUCCCAUUCUGCCUGGCCUGAACACCUUCAGGGAUGGGGCAUUCACAGUCUCUUUGGGCAACCUGUGCCACUGCCUCACUACCCACUGAAUAAAGAACUUCUCCCUAACAUCUAACCUAAAUUCCCCCCUCUUGGGUUUAAAUCCAUUCCCCUGUAUCCUGUCACUCAGAUUGUGUAGAAAGUCAAUCUCCCUCCUUUUUAUAAGCUCCCCUUAAGUACUUGGAGGCUGCAGUGAAGUUCCCCUGAAGCCUUCUGUUCUCCAGGAUGAAAAAACCCAGGUCCCUCAACAUUUCUUCAUAAGAGAGGUGAUCCAGCCCUCUAAGCAUCUUUAGUUUUGUUGAACCUCAUUGGGUUUGUGUAGACCCAUGUUUUGAGCUGGUCGAGGUCCUCUGGAUGAUGUCCCUCCCUUCUGUUAUGUCAGCUGCACCAUUCACCUUGGUGUUAUCAGCAAACUUGCUGGGUGUGCACUUAAUACCACUGUCUGUAUUAUUGAUUAAGAUAUUGAAGAGCACUGGUCCCAGUGUGGAUACUUGCUGCCUCCACCUGGACUUAUAUCUGUUGAUUAUUAGCUUUCUGGUUGUGACCAUUCAGCUCUUUAUCUACUGAGUAGUCUGCCCUUCAAACCCAUGUUUCUCCAAUUUAGAGAUAUGGGAUCUUGUUAAAGGCUUUUUGUAAGUCCAGGUGGAUGACAUCAGUUGCCCUUCCUGUGUCCACUAAUGCUGUUAGUCUGUCAUAGAAGACCACUAUAUUGGUCAGAUGUGAUUUGUCCUUGCUGAAGCUGUGCUGGCUGUCUCAGAUCACCUCCUAAUCUUGAACGUGUUUUAACAUCUCUUUCAGCAGGAACUGCUCUAUAGUCUUCCUAGGCACAGACUUUGAUACUCAUUGGCCUGUAGGCCAGGUCUUCUUUUCUCCCUUUGUUAAAAAUGGGAGUGAUGUUUCCCUUUUUCCAGUCAUCAGGGACUUUGCCCGACAGCUGUGACUUUAUCAUAUGCAAAAGCGUGCCUUGGCAACUGUCAUCCAGUUUCUUCAUGAUCCUGGGAUGUCUGUCCUCUGGCCUCCUUUCCUUUUCCAAUCCCUGCCUAGAGGUUCAGGGACCUGAGAGAGGAGAAGACCUCACCAAAGGGUGCCCUUGAUCAAGUAGCCUGUAGUUGACCCUGACCACCAGAUGUCUUAUUGGUCUGAUCCCUGUUCUUAACCCACAGGCUCUCAACAUAGCGUGUUCUUGGACUGUUUCUCAGAGGGAGCUGCUUGCAGUCUAUUCACCCAUUGACAUAGGACAGCCUUUGGUGUUGCCACCUUACUUUGCCUAUCCCUUCUAAAAAGCUUGUAACCCUAGAAUAUUGUAUUAGAUGCUUAACUGGGCUGUGUGUUAGUCUUGUUUGGAACCAUUUCCAAAUGGUGUUCCCCAUUUCCCUUCAAAAAAUAUUAUUGUUGUUUGAAAGUAAUUGCCAGUGCUGACCCUCACUUCUGAUACUUUUCUGUGAAGCUAUUACUCUACAGUGGCAUGAGGCAACUGCAGCAUUAACUUGCAUGUCUCCAGUGUUUUGGAAGAUGAACGAGCAUUAUAUAAGUUAGGUUUGAGGCUUCCCUUGGAAGAAAUUUGUGUGCUGAAAACAGGUUGUCAGCUGCAGUGCUGAGCUGGCCUGGUGAUGGCUGACCUUGUUAUGCCAUUCACAGGUAUCUGCUGUUUUUACUGUUCUCCAUUUGCUGAGGAGGGAGGGGAAAAGAGCAGAUGUAUCAAAAUCUCUUCACUGGCAUUUUACAGUGAAUGCAUUUGCUCACCAAGCGCACGUGAUUUAUACGUGCCGUGCAGUUGUGAUGUGCUGCUCUCCCACAGUGAGGGAUUGUCUAUAGCUUUGGCAGCAGUGAAGAAGACUGCAGCUAAUCCUGGCUCUUGGGACCUCGGGCCUGGACGCUGGUUGAAGACUCUGCCAUAACUGGGAUGCCUUCAAGCAUUGGACUGCUGGUGGAAAUGAGAAACGGGAUACAGCGUGGAGGCAGCAAAUAACUUUUCAGGCUGCUUCCCUGACUUCAGAGAUCCCAUUGCCCCAAGCAAACCUCCAGGUACGCGAGCCUCAGCUGCAGAGACGAAGCCACUAGAAAGGCAAGGUGAAGGAAAGCAGCUCUGUUUUUAAGAGCUCCUCUUUUGGCUUUUCAUCUUUCCAUACCAUGAGAAUGGCAACUGCAUGACAGAAACACGAGUCCAGGAUGGAGAAACAGGUUCUAUGAUGUUAUAGCCGGGACCCUGCACAACUGAGGAAUGCAUCCAGCAUUUGAUGAAGGAGUGAAUCUGGUCACACAGGGAUGAAUAUACACAGGUAAUGCAGCCUCCAACUGCGAGACAGAUGUUCAGAUGUCUCCUGACUGCUGUUGCUUUGUACAAAGCACUCAUUAUCACAUUGCCAGACACACUGGCGCUGAGUUACGGUUUAUAGUGUUCAUCUCAGUCUGCAUGAAGUGGUGACUGAGCCUUGGUAAGUAUUUUUUUAAAUCCAAAUACUUAGCAAAAUUUGAAGGGUUUGCUAUUUUCUAACUUGUGUAAUUAAUAAUAGGGUUAUUAAAAGGAUCCUCUCUCUGUGGGGGUCACCAUCAGGUCUGUAUGUAAGACAUGCUUCUCCUGGUUUCAGAGCCAACCUUGCUUGCUGCUGCAAAGAGGUGCUGAGCUCCCCAAGGCCCCUGGCACAGGAAGGACCUGGGCACUGGGUGCCCACAGUGCUGCUCUGCUCAGCUCCCAGCGAGAAGUCAGAGGGACAACAAAACUUUAGUCUGAAGCUAAUGACAUGCAAAAGGUCAAGGAUGUGAUGGCAGGAGCUUCAAAACUGUGUCUCCUGAACAGAAAAGCAAAAUGAAACAAAUACUUCUUAGUGAAGUUAAUACCUCUAUAACCUUGUCAUAUAGUGCUUCAAGAAACAGGCCUCAGGGUUUCCCACCUCUGAAAUAGAUGCCAGAAAGCACCUCUUUGCAUUCAGCAUGACCAGGACCAGCCUUUUCCCAUCCAAUUUCAGGUCAUAAACUGACUGACUGACAUAGUGUUCUCAUAAAAGAAGGCUGAUCAUACGGUCUGGUUGUCCAUUUCAGUCUCACAACAUCACACUUGGGCCGUGUGAUUAGAGGCAGCAUCUUUCUGUCUUGUAGGGGAUAUUUCUCUGCAAAUGAGGUGUUACAUAUAUCUAACUCCACAGUCUAUGGAAAGAAAAUAAAUUCAAGUAAUGGGGGAAAAGAGGAUAAAAUCAGGUAAGUAAAGGGUCAUUAAAGGCUCAUUUACAUAACAUGGUGAUGCAUGUCAAUUAAGUCACAUGUGGCUGGAAUCAAAAGUCUUAAAACAGUGACAGCCACCGCACACAUUGUGGCCAAGAUUCUGACCAUCUUUUCAGCUUCCACAGCUUUUACACAGAGCAAAUGUUGUGAAAAAUCAGUGCUAAACAGAAGCUUUCAGAUGAGGGUAAAUAAAUAUUCUCAAAAUGAUAUGCUGCCUCUUUGCCUGAAAGCAGCUCUGGGGUUAGAGCAGCUGCUGGGGAACAACAGGUGGGUAAAAAUACACUUCUUGUUCUUCAGGUUUGCAGACUUUUAGCUGUUCGUUGCAGAGAAGGUUUAAUUUUUCUGGUUGUUUUCUUUUUUGCGGAGCGUGCAUUACUGUCAGUUGCAAUACUAAUGGACAUCAACAUAAACAUCAUCUCCAGGGCUGCUCAAUGAAACUAUCUAAGGCUGAUUGUCUUGAAAUUAGCUUGACUCAUAUCUGCAAAUUGCCAGUGAUUAGCUGAUUAUGGUUUGAAUUGAACUCAGAUUGCUACAAAAAGCUACCAAAAGUCAGCCCCGGAUAUAUUCUAGUAAAUGAUGCCUCAGCUGCUGCCAACACUCGCAUUAAGGAUGGAGGUCUAUUACUGCAUCACACUGACGGCAGUCACUUUAAAAUACAUAUUCUGCCUGGGGAGAAGCUCUCUCCUGGGGAGAAUGCUGCCUUCUUACUUUUUAACCUACUCACUCAGUGAAUAAAGAAAAUAGAUUUGGGACAUAGCUAACAGGAGAGCAGAUUAAAUUCCUCCCUGGGAGAGGAACCUGCUGCCCCUUUGAAAAUACCAUUAUUAUAAUUAGAGGAGAGGCUCAAUCCCGGUGUUUUACUGAGAGUUGUCUCUUCUACAAUAGUAGUAUGUGACAUUUGAAAUUAAAUAAUGUGAAAUAAAUCUAACAGUGCUAAGCAACAGAUGUCAGUUCCAUUGAACAGCAACUCAUGCCUUAUUUUGUCCUAAUUAUAAAGUUAUGUGAAAAUGUUUGUGCCUGUGGCAGCUCGGCCAUUCAUCCUGGAUUUGCACAUGUGGUAAGCAGAACUGUGGCCCUUAAGAAGGAUGGUCAUGCUGCAUUUGUUUGUGUUUUUGUGCACAAGUCUCUGAGGCCUUAGCUUGCUCCAGCACUCAGCUACAAGUCCCCCAACAGUGCCCAUGCCCACCACUGCAGGGCUGGCCCAUACAGUGCUCAGAAAGCAGAGAGUUGAUAUCCCCCAAUGCCUGCAUCAACUCCAUUUCUGCCAGCACCAAUCACGAUACCGUAACAACUAACCCAGGAUGGCAGCCAUUUAGCAAGCUUAAAAAUUUAAUUUAGAAACAAUAGCAGGUCAUUUAAAUAAUUAAAUUCAAAAGAACACUCAGGCGACUUGCAACACCGUAAUGGUUUCAUUGUGUUUGACAUCAGCACGUACCUUAACUGCAGCUCUACUUCUGAAAGUGCGAGAGGUAAGUGAGUCAAUGUGUCCUUGGUGCUCUGCUGUGUCCUGAUGCCCGAUGGGGGCUGUUCUGAGGCCCAGAGCCUUGUGCACACAAAUACACACAUAGCAGUUAAGGAGGCGCAAGGCCUGUUCAGCCAUCCAGGGACCAAGACAGCAAAUUUCCAUCAGGCCAGGAGGCAGAUGGUGCCCUCGUUAGCUGGCACAGCAAAGGCCAGCAGUGAGACACAGCCCUACCCUCCACAGCUAAAUUAUGCAGCACACGAAAGAGAUUGUGUGCCCUUAAUAAAAUAUUAACGUUGAAUAUAAGAUGCCUUCAGGUAAACUUAGUUAUAUGUAGUAAAUAUAUUAAGUUUCAAUAGUCAAAACAGUUUUUUUGAGAGCACCAUUCCUGUUUACCUUGUUUGUAUCUGUCUGAGCUGUAUCACAACUUCUUCCUACACCCUUGUGUUCCCUUUGCCUUCCAGAACAAUUGGAUUUUCUGUUGCUGGUCAGAUGCAGCCUGUGAGUCAAUGGGAAAGUGAGGGAGGCAGCCUAUUUUCCUGCCACUAUUGACAGCUCAGCACCCCGAGCAGCUGCACUGUCCCCAGACAUUUGGCAAAGUUGCCUUCAGGAUUAUUUCUGUUCUCAUCAUCAAACCCCUUUAUCCUAUCAACCUAUUAGCAAUUGGAUACUUUGCUUUAUGUUCAGUUAUGUUCCCAGAGAAAGAACAAGUUAUAAAAGUGCCUCUCGGACUAACAUCUAAUGUAUUUCUUGAUGAAUUGCAGCCUGGUAGACUACAUGGAAGGUUUUGAAAAGUAAAGUCUAUAAAGCUUUUCAAUAAAAUAAUGCUGUAAUAUACUUUUCUCUCCAAGGAUAGCAAAGAUAAUAGAGCAAUACCUAUAACUGACUGGAACUUGUGUUUGUCAGUUGGUGUUUCUGUUUUCUAGCCUUUUUGGUUUUGUUUUGCUUUCCCCAGGGAUCUCAAAACCCCACUUUUAUAAUGAUGGGCUAUCACGAAGGCAAGUCUGCCUCAAUCAAACAGCUUCCAUUAGCCUCAAGGGUAAAGUGGAGCCCACUGAAUACGUGAUCCAUAAAAGUUGAUCCCUAAGCGGGGGCCUUCCUUUUAAAAGUAACUCACCAAAGUCUACAGGCCACAGCUAAAUAACUAAUAGUGCGUAGUUGUCUAAUAAACAUAAAGGCUCUGGUGCAAGGACAGAGAGAUAAUACACCUGAAAUAUAUUUUCUCAUGUACUGUAUUUCCAGGUGGGUUGAGAGGGCUUCCAAUGAAGCAUAUAUUUUUCUUAGGCACAUGAACAAAAACUGCAUAAACCCAAAAACUGAUCAGCUGUUAAUAGGGGCACUGACCACAGCUGUUGUUCUCCUCUAUGUAUAUGAGAAUUAUAAGGUCACCUCUGCCCCUCAGAGAAUCACAGAAUGAAUCAAGGCAAACACCAGCUAUAACCAUAAUCUUUGCUCCCAGACUUGUCUGCUUUUCAGGACUGCAUCCUAAGUUUCAAUUGCUUCUCAUCAGACAGCACUCACCUCCUCUCAAACAUGUAGCUGGAGAAAUGAAUUACCUGCAGUGAAGAACUUAGUAAAUAACUUCAAAUGUGUCACUAAAACUAAUGAUUUUUAAGAAGGUGGAGUUUCAAAGCUACAAGAGGCAACCUGAAACUUCAUUUAGGAACCAGCAGCAAUAAAUGUCAUCAAGUUUUUUAUUGUGCUUGUAUGCCGGAGCAGUAAAAAUUAUAGAAAAAUAAAAGAGUGUUUGAAAGUGUGUGUGUGUGUGUAUUUCAAUGUGUUUGAAAGUUUGUGUUUGUUUGAAAGUGUGUGGGUCUUUGAAUGUGUGUGAGUGUUUGAAAGUGUCUUUGAAUGUGUGUGUGUCUUUGAAUGUGUGUGUUUAAAAGCGUGUUUCUUUGAAAGUGUCUAUGAAAGUGAGUUUGUUUAAGAGUGUGUUUGAAAGUGAGUCUGUCUGAAAUUGUGUCUGUGUUUGAAAGCAUGUGCUUGAAUGUGUUUUAAAUUGUGUUUGAAAGCAUCUUUGAGUGUGCAAUGAGUGUGAGCAGGUGUGCAGUGUGCCCAUGAGUGUGCAAUAAGUGAGUGUGUGAAAGUUCGACACUAUGUAUGAGUGUGUGAAAUUUCAUCACUAUGUGUGUGAGUGCGUGGAAAAUCCGACACUGUGUGUAAGUGUGUGAAUGUUCGACACUAUGUGUGUGAGUGCGUGAAAAAUCAGACACUGUGCGUGAGUGCAUGAAAAUUCAUCACUAUGUGUGAGAGUGGAAGUUCGACACUGUGUUAGUGCGUGGAAAAUCAGACACUGUGUUUGAGUGGGUGAAAUUUCGUCACUAUGUGUGUGAGUGCGUGAAAAUUCAUCACUAUGUGUGUGAGUGCGUGGAAAAUCUGACACUGUGUGUGUGAGUGCGUGAAAUCUGACGCUAUGUGUGUGAGUGCGUGAAAGUUUGUCACUAUGUGUGUGAAUGCGUGGAAAAUCUGACACUAUAUGUGAGUGCGUGAAAUUUCAACACUAUGUGUGUGAGUGCUUGAAAGUUCGUCACUAUGUGUGUGAGUGCGUGGAAAAUCUGAGACUAUGUGUGUGAGUGCGUGG